AUUGAACUGAAGAGUUUGAUCCUGGCUCAGAUUGAACGCUAGCGGGAUGCUUUACACAUGCAAGUCGAACGGCAGCGCGGGCUUUCGGGCCUGGCGGCGAGUGGCGAACGGGUGAGUAAUG
rnacentral:rRNA from 1 species